GGUGCACGACACCUUAGUAUCUCACGUCAUAACAGCAUGCGCCAUCCUUCAUAACAUCUGCCUUGGUGCUGGGAAUGUCAUUGUCCCAGAGGAUGACCCAGAGGAGGCUGUAGAAGAGGAUGAGGUCGGGACUGAGACAGUCAGCUUUGCUCUCUGGCAGAACCAGCUUUCAGCUGAGGUGUCCGCCCUGGAGGAGUGAUGUGGCAGCCGUCAAUUCAGCAAGCCCUUUAAACCCACUUGAUGGACGAUGACGUG